rnacentral:rRNA from 9 species
CCAAGGGUUGGGCUGUUCGCCCAUUAAAGUGGCACGCGAGCUGGGUUCAGAACGUCGCGAGACAGUUCGGUCCCUAUCUGUUGCAGGCGUUAGAAGUUUGAGAGGACCUCCUUUUAGUACGAGAGGACCGAAGGGGACGAACCUCUGGUGUACCUGUUGUGGCGCCAGCUGCACCGCAGGGUAGCUAUGUUCGGAAGAGAUAAGCGCUGAAAGCAUCUA